GAGCAAGCAAGCAAGUAGACAAGCAAGAAAGAGAAGGAAGGAAGGAAGGAAGGAAGGAAGGAAGGAAGGAAGGAAGGAAGGAUGGAAGGAAGGAAGGAAGGAUGGAAGGAAGGAUGGAAGGAAGGAAGGAAGGAAGGAAGGAAGGAAGGAAGGAUGGAAGGAAGGAAUGAAGGAGGAGGAGGGAGGAAUGAAGGGAGGAGGGAGGGAGGGAAAAGAAGGGAGUCUAGGAUGAAGUGGGCACCUAAACAGGUGAAUAGGGUGGGUAAAAACCUCAUCCCUGCCCUCAGGCGGUAGACACUCUCCAGUCACAAGCUCUAAUGUGCUGUAGAAAAGCCUCAGGUUCUCGGGGGGUUUCCAGCUGAGCAUCUGGAAGGCUGCAGUGCAGUUCCGUGUCCAAGCACUGCAGAGCUCCUGGAAGAUCUGUUUCCAGGGGGGGGCUACAGCUUGGCAAGGGGAAUGCAAGAGUCCCUAGCCAGUCUUGGAUCUCAACUUGGCAUUCCCGAGAGACAGAGAGAUUCUCUGGUCCCCCGUCCCAGCCCUGAAACCCGCAGCCUUUGACCCAGAGGUAGAGGAGCAAGCUCUCCGUGAAGUCCUGGUCUCUGGAAUCCCUUCUUUGGGGACAAAAUGACAUGAACCUGCCACAGAGCCUGUUUUUGAAACAAAUCAAAGAGCUAUUUUGAGCAAUCACCUCCAGCAAUCACGACAGCAUAACUUGUGCAGCUGGAACUAGGUCACCAAGUCAUCUCACCGGCACCAGAAGAAAUUCAUCUGGGAAGGCCACCAGCGCGGGGAGACGAGAGAGGAGCCCUGCCCUGGCCGCUUGUCAAGACAUCCACGUUUCAAAGGACAGCUGAAAACACAACAGAGACAGGGGCUCGCUAUGCAUUUCCUUUUAAAAUUGGCAAUAAUCCGGCCACAGAAUCAAGAAACUGUCUUGAACCUGGAUAAACAGGCCCCAAAGUUGUUCCUCCGCCCGGCUUGGAUAUGUUUCUGUUUCCGUUUUCUGGCUACACAGAAUCUAACGCCGCAUCAAGAAUUGGCCCUGGUGCUCUGUAAGACCUUUCGUUCGGUCUCUUUUCAGUUACCACAGACGGAGACCUAAAUCGACCUAGGUUAGGUGAGAAAAAAAAAAGAUUCAUUAUUGAGUAAAUUAUCAAAGUGAUAUUGAAUACCUUUUUUUUACUUUUUAAAUUUUUUAUUUAAUUCUAAUUUUAAAAUUUAUUUUUUCAUUUUAUUUAUUUAUUUUUUCCCACAAUGUAGGUGGAACGACCGAAACUGGCCUUAAAAUAUUUGGAAACCCAAAGAUGGCCUUGGGCUGGGCGUGGUGGCUCAUGCCUGUAAUCCCAGCACUUUGGGAGGCUGAGGCAGGAGGAUCACUUGAGCCCAGGACUUGGACACCAGCCUGGGUAACAAAGGGAGACUCCUUCUCCACCAAAAAUUAAAAAAUAAGCCAGGUGCCGUGGCUCACACCUAUAGUCCCAGCUACUCAGGAGGCUGAGGUGGGAGGAUCACUUGAGUCCAGGAAGUUGAGGUUGCAGUAAACUAUGAUCACACCAUGACACUCCAGUCUGAGUGACAGAGUGAGACCCAUCUCUAAAAAAUUUUUUAAAUUAGCUGGGCAUGGUGGCAUUUGCCUGUAGUCCCAGCUACUUGGGAGGCUAAGCCAGGAGGAUGACUCGGCCCAGGAGGUCGAGGCUGCAGUGAGCUGUGAUUGUGCCACUGCACUCCAGCCUGGGUGACAAAGGCAGACCCUGUCUCAAUAAAAGGGUGGGAGAUGACAUUAGGAGUCUCUCUCUGUUUUUUGGUUUUUUUUUUACUUUUGAAAUCAUGGGUUUUAGUUUAUUAUUUUUAAUAUAUUUCUGAAAAUAUAUAAUAUCAAGACGGUCUGACAAUGAUUUUUUAAUACUUUCCAGUUCCGCCAACAUUGCUGUCAUGCAUCCUUGAUAACAAUGCUAUCCCUGAACCGGGAUGGGGGUGGUGAGGUGGGGUUGCUGGCGGAGUAUCUUUCUGAGUCAGUUAAAGUCACUGAGGAGGGCCCACACCUCAAUGUGAGUUACAAUUAGAAAUUAGUCAUGGAAGGACAUGUCUACCACGGACAUCUUUCCUCACAUUUAAAUUAUUCCAUUUCUUUCCUACAGUCCUCCUUCUAUCUUUAGUUCCAUUUUAAAUAACCCUUCAUCCUACAUACCCAUUUAUCUUGCUUCCUUUUUCUCCCUUUUGUCCCACUAGUAUAACAUAAGAGAUUGUGCUUCAGUAAACUAUCCUCAUGUGGGGAGAAAAAAAAUCAAAAUGUGAUCAAUGAUAAUAGUUGAACAAAGUUAAGAUUGCAGGCUCUAAAAACUAAGUGAUUCAUUGUUGAAUGCCCCAAAGCACUCUAUGUUUCCUUUCCAAGAUGAUGACUCUUCGUAUAUUUCCUUUGGCAUAUGGGCAUCUUGGCUUUUAAAGUAUCAGUGGCAUAGCUCACAGCUUCAAGAGAUGCAGCUCUGUGGG
ensembl:lncRNA